rnacentral:rRNA from 1 species
GAUGAGCCAGAAUUGGCACCUUGUCUUUAAAUAAGGUGCAAAAUGAUUUUAACUGAAGAGUUUGAUCAUGGCUCAGAUUGAACGCUGGCGGCAGGCUUAACACAUGCAAGUCGAGCGGAGAGAGGUAGCUUGCUACUGAUCUUAGCGGCGGACGGGUGAGUAAUGCUUAGGAAUCUGCCUAUUAGUGGGGGACAACAUUUCGAAAGGAAUGCUAAUACCGCAUACGUCCUACGGGAGAAAGCAGGGGAUCUUCGGACCUUGCGCUAAUAGAUGAGCCUAAGUCGGAUUAGCUAGUUGGUGGGGUAAAGGCCUACCAAGGCGACGAUCUGUAGCGGGUCUGAGAGGAUGAUCCGCCACACUGGGACUGAGACACGGCCCAGACUCCUACGGGAGGCAGCAGUGGGGAAUAUUGGACAAUGGGCGCAAGCCUGAUCCAGCCAUGCCGCGUGUGUGAAGAAGGCCUUAUGGUUGUAAAGCACUUUAAGCGAGGAGGAGGCUACUUUAGUUAAUACCUAGAGAUAGUGGACGUUACUCGCAGAAUAAGCACCGGCUAACUCUGUGCCAGCAGCCGCGGUAAUACAGAGGGUGCAAGCGUUAAUCGGAUUUACUGGGCGUAAAGCGCGCGUAGGCGGCUAAUUAAGUCAAAUGUGAAAUCCCCGAGCUUAACUUGGGAAUUGCAUUCGAUACUGGUUAGCUAGAGUGUGGGAGAGGAUGGUAGAAUUCCAGGUGUAGCGGUGAAAUGCGUAGAGAUCUGGAGGAAUACCGAUGGCGAAGGCAGCCAUCUGGCCUAACACUGACGCUGAGGUGCGAAAGCAUGGGGAGCAAACAGGAUUAGAUACCCUGGUAGUCCAUGCCGUAAACGAUGUCUACUAGCCGUUGGGGCCUUUGAGGCUUUAGUGGCGCAGCUAACGCGAUAAGUAGACCGCCUGGGGAGUACGGUCGCAAGACUAAAACUCAAAUGAAUUGACGGGGGCCCGCACAAGCGGUGGAGCAUGUGGUUUAAUUCGAUGCAACGCGAAGAACCUUACCUGGCCUUGACAUAGUAAGAACUUUCCAGAGAUGGAUUGGUGCCUUCGGGAACUUACAUACAGGUGCUGCAUGGCUGUCGUCAGCUCGUGUCGUGAGAUGUUGGGUUAAGUCCCGCAACGAGCGCAACCCUUUUCCUUAUUUGCCAGCGAGUAAUGUCGGGAACUUUAAGGAUACUGCCAGUGACAAACUGGAGGAAGGCGGGGACGACGUCAAGUCAUCAUGGCCCUUACGGCCAGGGCUACACACGUGCUACAAUGGUCGGUACAAAGGGUUGCUACCUAGCGAUAGGAUGCUAAUCUCAAAAAGCCGAUCGUAGUCCGGAUUGGAGUCUGCAACUCGACUCCAUGAAGUCGGAAUCGCUAGUAAUCGCGGAUCAGAAUGCCGCGGUGAAUACGUUCCCGGGCCUUGUACACACCGCCCGUCACACCAUGGGAGUUUGUUGCACCAGAAGUAGCUAGCCUAACUGCAAAGAGGGCGGUUACCACGGUGUGGCCGAUGACUGGGGUGAAGUCGUAACAAGGUAGCCGUAGGGGAACCUGCGGCUGGAUCACCUCCUUAA